rnacentral:misc_RNA from 1 species
UUUCCGUAGGUGAACCUGCGGAAGGAUCAUUAUUGUAUAACCGAGGUGCGAGGGCCGUCGCUGACCCGAAAGGUCGUGCACGCCCGAGUGCCCUCACACACAUCCAUCUCACCCCUAUGUGCACCACCGCGUGGGUCCCCCUUUGGCUUGUUCGGAGGGGGGCUUACGUUUUCACACAAACUUUGUAUGCAGUGUAGAAUGUAUUUUUUGUUUUUGCGAUCACGCAAUCAAUACAACUUUCAACAACGGAUCUCUUGGCUCUG